rnacentral:tRNA from 1 species
GCUUAAGUAUUUUAAUAUAAAAUGCUGUUUUGUGGUAACAGUGAUAUGAUUAUUCAUCUUAGGUC